GAUGAAGAACGUAGCAAAAUGCGAUAAGUAAUGUGAAUUGCAGAAUUCAGUGAAUCAUCGAAUCUUUGAACGCACAUUGCGCCCGCUGGUAUUCCGGCGGGCAUGCCUGUUCGAGCGUCAUUUCAACCCUCAAGCCCCCGGGUUUGGUGUUGGGGAUCGGCUCUGCCCUUCUGGGCGGUGCCGCCCCCGAAAUACAUUGGCGGUCUCGCUGCAGCCUCCAUUGCGUAGUAGCUAACACCUCGCAACUGGAACGCGGCGCGGCCAUGCCGUAAAACCCCAACUUCUGAAUGUUGACCUCGGAUCAGGUGGGAAUACCCGCUGAACUUAAGCAUAUCAAUAAGCGGAGGA
rnacentral:misc_RNA from 1 species